rnacentral:rRNA from 1 species
AACGCGAAGAACCUUACCAAGGCUUGACAUCCCCUUGACAGAUGCAGAGAUGUGUCCUCUCCUUCGGGAGCAAGGGAGACAGGUGGCGCAUGGUUGUCGUCAGCUCGUGUCGUGAGAUGUUGGGUUAAGUCCCGCAACGAGCGCAACCCUUGUCGUUAGUUGCCAGCAGUAAGAUGGGCACUCUAAUGAGACUGCCGGUGAUAAACCGGAGGAAGGUGGGGAUGACGUCAAAUCAUCAUGCCCCUUAUGUCUUGGGCUACACACGUGCUACAAUGGUCGGAACAAAGGGAAGCGAAGGAGCGAUCCGAAGCAAAACCUCAUAAACCGAUCCCAGUUCGGAUUGCAGGCUGCAACUCGCCUGCAUGAAGUCGGAGUUGCUAGUAAUCGCGAAUCAGAACGUCGCGGUGAAUGCGUUCCCGGGUCUUGUACACACCG